GUGGGGAAUAUUGGGCAAUGGGCGCAAGCCUGACCCAGCAACGCCGCGUGAGGGAAGAAGGCUUUCGGGUUGUAAACCUCUGUCCUUGGUGACGAAACAAAUGACGGUAGCCAAGGAGGAAGCCCCGGCUAACUACGUGCCAGCAGCCGCGGUAAUACGUAGGGGGCGAGCGUUGUCCGGAAUUACUGGGCGUAAAGGGUGCGUAGGUGGCCUUUUAAGUUGGAUGUGAAAUACCCGGGCUUAACUUGGGGGGUGCAUCUAAUACUGGGAGGCUAGAGUGCAGGAGAGGGAAGCGGAAUUCAUGGUGUUGCGGUGAAAUGCGUAGAUAUUAGGAGGAACACCAGUGGCGAAGGCGGCUUUCUGGACUGUAACUGACACUGAGGCACGAAAGCGUGGGGAGCAAACAGGAUUAGAUACCCGAGUAGUCC
rnacentral:rRNA from 1 species